AUUGAACGCUGGCGGCAGGCCUAACACAUGCAAGUCGAGCGAGCGGCGGACGGGUGAGUAAUGUAUAGGGAUCUGACCGAUAGAGGGGGAUGACUACUGGAAACGGUGGCUAAUACCGCAUACUAUCGGAUGCACCAUUAUUGGAUUAGCUAGGAGGUGGGGUAAAGGCUCACCAAGGCGACGAGCUCUCCCUGGUCUGAGAGGAUGAUCCGCCACACUGGGACUGAGACACGGCCCAGACUCCUACGGGAGGCAGCAGUGGGGAAGAUUGCACAAUGGGCGCAAGCCUGAUGCAGCCAUGCCGCGUGGAUGAAGAAGGCCUUAGGGUUGUAAAGUACUUUCAGCGGGGAGGCGUUACCCGCAGAAGAAGCACCGGCUAACUCCGUGCCAGCAGCCGCGGUAAUAC
rnacentral:rRNA from 1 species